rnacentral:tRNA from 1 species
GAUUGCUUAAUAUAAUUUAUUAUAUUAGACUGUAAAUCUAAAAAUGGCUAUGGCCAGCAAUCA